UCUGGGCACCCAUGGCUCAGUCAAGUUGACAUGUGAAAUUAACCAUCACAAUGAGCAAGUGCAGCUAAUUGGCUGAGUGGUCAUGAGCCUAUUCCUUCAGAAUGUGAAAGCCUGGGAAAAGACUAACCUAUGAAAAAGCAAGGGCUAUGGAUCAAGUAUUCUUUGAAGUGCCCUGUUCACUUCAUGGUUCUGUAGAGAAUUAGAAAACUUCCAGGAGUUUCCAAGAAUGCUGAUAUCCAGUUCACCACUUUACCCACUGGUGAGGAGAAGAAAGUCAAAGGAAACCAUAUGUCUUAGACCUUAGUCUCCACUGGUGACCUCUGUCUACCUUGACCCUUUCUCUAUCAGAAGGCCUGCGGCUAGUGACUGAGGCGGGGGUGCACCACGUCUUCAACCAAGGGCAGCACAGAAGAAGUAGAGUCCCUCUCAGCUGGAGGGUCUGAUGAUGCUUCUCUCCUCAUCAAAGCUGGAGGCAGGAGGCAGCUUCCUGUCCAUGACUCUCACCGCCUUGUCUUGGUCAUGGCAAGUUUUUAUUUGCUCCCCAAAUAGACCAGGGUUCUAUGAAUAGGCACACCCAGUUAUGAAUGGAGAGAAGCUUUAAAUCAGGAUAUUCUAACACCUUUAUUACUCACGGUCGGUAGGGACCAGAAAUAUGGAGAUUAAAGUGUCCAUCAUGUCACUAGAAUCCCUUGGGUAUAGGAUCUUACUGCGUGGCCUUAUCUUUCUUUUAUCAAAACAUACACACACAAAAGA
rnacentral:lncRNA from 1 species